GGGGAAUGUAAAAUGCAAAUGUGAGAGAGCUUUGUAAAUUAGCUUUUACCAGCACCAUUGCAUUCGUCAACUUUCCUUAAUUCUCAUUCAGCACCACCUUUCAAUCUGGAAACUUGUUCUUCACAGGGAACAUGUUGUCAUGACAGAUAACAUUGCUUUAAACUUGCUGAUCAUCUCUUUUAAAAUGCAGAUUGUAAGGAUCAAGACACUCUCAGGUGCAGGAAUGCUGCUUUUUGCUGCACUAUUCGUGUUUAGCCAACCUUCAUAUGUGGGGUCCACAGAGGUGACCCAUUGGGCAGAGGUCAUGAUUGAGGGGAAUAAAACCUUAAAUGUUGCAGUCCAACUGCCUGGACUUAUAGGGACUUCUCUGGAUACAACGGGGGUAACUAUCACAAACGCUGAAAUAGCAGCAGAGUGUGAGAUAAUUGGCCAAAAUUCAACCUGCUGGUGUGGUACAGAAUUUGUGUGGAGCAAUCUUGUGUGCGACAGUGUAAAUAAAUGCUGCAAUGUGGAAAAAUGUGUGGCAAAUAUAUCACAGUACACACCUCUGUGUCUGCCCAAAAUGAAUGUUUCACUCAUUGGCAUGCUCACUGGGAGCAACACAACAGUCGAAAGCAUGUUGCUGGGUGCUUUUAAUGUGCUAAAUGGCUUCAACUCACUGAUUGUCCAAAACACCAUUCUCACAGGGUUAAAUACAUACGCUCACAAUUUCACAGUGUCUCUUAGUUCUGUGUUUGCCACCUCCAAAGUUCAAAGCAUAAUAUCUACACUGUUGAUGGAUCCCUACAUUUACAGUCUCAGUGUUAAGUCUCUAGGCAUGGUAUACAUGGAGGCACCUACAGGAAAAGUGUGUUAUAAUUCAAGACAACAACUGAACUGUACCAGUAUCGAAGUUAUGAGCAAGUGCGUGUGGCAGAUGUCCAGAGGUAAUGAGGACCCAAUGAUUCUGGGACCAGGAAGUGAAAUACAGCUGUCAGAUAAUUGUACAGAACUCUCAACAGUCACAUUGCUGAAGACAAAUGGAUACUGGUCAGGAAUAUACAGCUGCCUUUUUGUUACUGGGAACAUAGCCCACAUGGGCAUAGCACCUAUUCAAAUUGCACUGCUGCCAGAGGUCAUUAAUGUGACAAGCAAUCCACAAACUGCAGAUUGUUCUGGACCAUCACCAACCAAAGUUAGCAUCUCAUGUUCCAUCGAAAACAGCACUGAAACCUACAAAGUCAUGCUAAAACUCGGAAGUGUGGAAAUUGCACCAAUUAAAGAAGAAAACAAUGGAAUCAUCAAGUAUACAGCAGAAUUCCCUGUUGAUUGUCAGGCAGUAGGCAAACCAACUUCACUUGAGGCCAGUUGCACUUUAGAGAACUCUUUGAAUCAGCUGCGAAAUCGCACAAUAAAAGUACCAAUCAUUUACCCCAGUGACCUGUUUUGUGCAGAGGAACAAAUUGCAGAGAGAAUAUGGCCAAAAACAAAGAAUAAUGAAACAGCCACUAUAGAUUGCACUGCGCCUGGGAGAGAGGGCUCAAUGAAACGCAAAUGCACUGGACAAACAUGGGGUGAAGAAGUCUCUCUGUGUGUUAAAUCAGUCCUGAAUAGUGUUGCUUUGCAAGCAAAGGAUUUUGAAAAGGGACUUGGAGCAACACAAGAAGUCGCUCAGUUUAUCUUUCAGAGUUUGAAAAAUAACACAGCUGAUGAGGGCGAGAACACUUUUGGUGAUGUCAAGGCUGCAGUUUCUGUUUUCCUAACAAUGAACAAGGCAUCAGUAAACAUGCCACUAGGCGAGAACCUUCUUGCAGACAGUAAAAAAAAAAACUAG
rnacentral:lncRNA from 1 species